CAGUCUCAGCCUCUUCUCCUCUCUGUUAAGAUCACAUUUGUCUCUUUUUCUAAUUAUCUGAACAAAGACAUUACCAGAGUCUGCUCCAGCUGUCUCAUCGCUACAGAACAACAGGAUGCAUUUUAUAUUGCUCGCCUUUUCAACUUUUAUACCAUGUGUGAGACCGCAAACUAUUCUCCAGUCCCCUCCUUCUAUAGUCCAGUUUGCUGGGACCGAAGCCAGACUGGCUUGCACUGUUAAGGGUGCUAGUGACCCGUACAUGUACUGGUACAGACAGGACUCCAGGGGAGGGAUAGAGAUGCUGUUCCUCUCCAGAGCAGCUGGAAUGGUGGAUGAGUCUCCAAUCAAAGAUUUCACAGCUCAGAGAACAGCCAGCGAGAGCUUCAGUCUGCAAACAGAGAGGCUGUCUCUGAACCACACGGCUGUGUAUUACUGUGCAUGGAGUAGUCACAGUGAUUGAGACAGAUAGGGACCCCCAACAAAAACCUCAGAUCAGCUCAGCUGGG